UCCUCGAUAGCUCAGUUGGUAGAGCAAUCGGCUGUUAACCGAUCGGUCGUAGGUUCGAGUCCUACUCGGGGAGCC
rnacentral:tRNA from 1 species